AAGUCGUAACAAGGUUUCCGUAGGUGAACCUGCGGAAGGAUCAUUACUGCUUGCUCACAGCGUCUUUCUGGGAAACCAGGCUGACGUUGGGCAUGUCACCCUUGUCUAUUGCACCUUUGUUCAUGUCCCUCGGCAGGGCAACCUGCCGCUAGGGUUCAACAAACUCUUUUACAAAGCAAUUACUUCUGGCAACUAAAAUAAUCACAA
rnacentral:misc_RNA from 1 species